rnacentral:rRNA from 1 species
GAUGAACGCUGGCGGCGUGCCUAAUACAUGCAAGUCGAGCGAACAGGUGAGGAGCUUGCUCCUCUGACGUUAGCGGCGGACGGGUGAGUAACACGUGGAUAACCUACCUAUAAGACUGGGAUAACUUCGGGAAACCGGAGCUAAUACCGGAUAAUAUAUUGAACCGCAUGGUUCAAUAGUGAAAGACGGUUUUGCUGUCACUUAUAGAUGGAUCCGCGCCGCAUUAGCUAGUUGGUAAGGUAACGGCUUACCAAGGCAACGAUGCGUAGCCGACCUGAGAGGGUGAUCGGCCACACUGGAACUGAGACACGGUCCAGACUCCUACGGGAGGCAGCAGUAGGGAAUCUUCCGCAAUGGGCGAAAGCCUGACGGAGCAACGCCGCGUGAGUGAUGAAGGUCUUCGGAUCGUAAAACUCUGUUAUUAGGGAAGAGCAAAUGUGUAAGUAACUAUGCACGUCUUGACGGUACCUAAUCAGAAAGCCACGGCUAACUACGU